CAGCUGUCAACUGUCUCUUAAUUUUCGGUGAGAAACUGUACAAAACUUAUCUAAAGACUAAACUUACGUAUUGUCAUUAUUCGCGUUUAAGUGCAAUUAGAAGAAGAAAAUAUUUUGCUGUCAAAAUAAAUACAUUUAACACGUGCAAAGGAUGUAGGUAAACUGUCUAGGAAACGAACCUGGCCCUUUUUUUGAAGCAUCGUAGUCUCGAUAAAAAUUACGAAGAUAGAAAUCAGCAGGAAUAAUUGAGAUGAAAGUGAAAAAGACAAUUGAGGCGGGUUUCACGAUACGGUCGCGUCAAUUAACAUAUAACCAAGAAAUUAAUUCUAGGUUAAAUAAAUAACAUAAAUAUCGUCGCUUUUUCGCGGGCAGUGAAGCCCAAAACAACUUGGCUCUGGACAAACACCCAUCACUACUUGAUUUCUUGUUUGGUUCAAGCAUCGGCCACUGUCAUCAGUUGGUGAAUUUUUUUUCGAGCCUCCAUGUAAAGGCACGCCGUGUACUUGUGAGCUACAACAUGCCAACAGGUCAUGACUUGGUGUCACCAUUAUAUUUAAUUGCGAUGCAGCACAGUGGCGGCGAAACAUUUGUUAUGAUGCUCUGCUCAGUGUGUUGUGCUCGCUUCACACCUGUUUUAUUCGCAGCAAAUUGCGCAACUUCACAUUUCUUAUUUUACUUAAAAAUCGUGGCACGUUUAGUAUCACCUUCCUCAGUUCUUGAAAAGUAGAGAAUACGCUUCAGGCUGGCCGUUUAAAUUUCUUCCUUCAAGCUUUAUCUGAUAUAAGUAUCAAAGCGACCUUCCCAGAGUUAGUCUUCUUCCUACGUUUUGAGUAUGGAAAUGCGCGAUUGAAACCGGGGAAGCGAAUAGACAUCUUCUGGCGUCUGUGCCCAAGUACCUGAAUGCCAAGUUGGAUUGAAGUUAAGUGAUCAGUUCUUCUUGAAGAAAGACUCGCAUCCUAUGACAUAUAUUGCUCUGAAAGGCAGUAGACACUUUCACAAGAGGUGAAGAAGCAGAAAGAGUACAAUAGGGACGACAUACAGAUACCAAAGUAAUCUGUAUAAUCAAAGACAUUGAACUACAAACGAGAAGAAAUAAAAGCUAAUAUGGAACACAAGGAUCAAAACAAGACAUUGAUAUCGAGGGACUCCAACGCUGGACUCUGAGUCAGCAGCAAACUGAGGAUUGGUGGCACACAACAAAUCUCUUAAAAGAGUAUCAAUCAGUAUCGGACCUUAGUUUCCGAUUUGUCCCCGAAAAACUUAGACAACGACUUUUUAAGACCAUUCGGAAACAGGUUUCUUUCUUUUUUUUUUGUCAAACUCUAGCAUGUAUGGAUUGCACGCCUGUUUAUCCUUUAACGUACUCAGUUGCUUUUAGUAAAAGCAAUCUACGUUAUCGAAAAACAUGAUUCAAUUGCAAAAUUUUGGCUCUGAAAAGCAAUAUUGUUCACUCAUGCGUGGCAAAUACAUUUCUUUUAAAUUCUGAUGUACUACUCAAAAAACUCAUCCAAAAGCUCUGACGACAAUCCUUACUAAACUUCACAACAUCACUUUUGACGACCAGGUUAUCAUUUUUGUGGACAUGUUAAGCAAAUUUUACUAACGAACUAAAACCGAAAUCCGCAGAUUUCGUUUGUUUCUAUUUGUUGUAUUAUUCCUGACCGAAGAUUUACAGCUUAAAGGUACCAGUGCCGCCUCUAUAAUUACCACGUGGCGAAAGAGACAUCAAAGACACUUUCACAAUCAUCUGUUCUGGUGGAUUAUUUCAUUUUUAGCCUAGGCUGGGACACUUUAAGACUAUAAAAUUAAGCAAUAUUUAAUUCGUUUCUCUUUUAAGUCCAGGCUUGUAAGGGGUUCAUUAUGCAUCUCUUCGCUGUUUCCACACAGCUGUUAAACUAUGUACAGGAGGCGGGUCACCUGUGAAGGUUCGUGUCUUGUGGAAUGUUGGCUCUUCACAGCAGGGCUGUAAUGAAUUUUUUACGUUGUUUUGGUGCCAGAAUUUUUCCAUUUAUUGUUUUUUCCUGAGAUAAGAAUCUUCUCUGCCGGCAAGCAGAAAAAACUUACGACCUUGUUUACAUGAAACUGGGGGAAAAAGCAGGAAUUUUACCAAGAAAAUACAAUAACUGCCCAGCUAGGCACCCCUCCCUUUGUAGCCUUUCCAAGUAGCCUUACGACAGGUAAACUGUUGUUUCCGGAAGGUGUCCAAACUAUCCUCGCUUAUUAGAUUGUUUUUUUUUUUUUUUUAAUGUGUUUGUUUGUGAGGCAUUUUUGCUGCAAGGCAAAUGUAUAUCAUUUUGUCAAAUUAUUUCAAACGAAAGUUGUUUGGCACCUUUUAGUUAAAUUGACCUUCCAAAAUUUCAAUAAGUAUAUGCAACAUUUACUCCAAUAGAUAUAAUUUUGUUAGCCUUUCAAAAUAUCUAGCGUUAGCCUCAAAACAUUCCUUCAUAUUCAGGUGCAAUGUUUGGAGAACAACAACAGAUUUUUCUUUUUUCUAAUACCAUACGUAAGCACUCAAGAAUAGCUCACGCACGUUUCAAUUCAAGACUGUUUUCCUUUACACUCAACAUUAAUUCAUUUGGGCUACAGUUGAUAUCAAAAAUGUAACCUUCCUAUUUUAGACUGUAAGCUUUCGGUUCGACCUUGUUGAGCUGCGUCGUUGCUGUACUUUGCGUCGGCGAUUAGCAGUGAAAAUUACUAUUACUAUUACUAGACUCUCCCUAUAGGAAAUAAUAGAAUUUUCCGCUCGGUUGGUUAAUUUCGCAAUAAAAUCUCAACAUCUUUCCGUAACAUUUUCAGUUCAUUUCUUGGCAUAACCGCCUUGCCAUUGCCAUUCAAUGGCUCAUGUUUUGUCAUGUUGCUCUGGGACGGUGUGAUGUGCCUUUUAAAAUAGCAAAUUCCCGUGGUUCACCACACGAAGAGGUCGAUUUCUUUAUUUGUACCUCCAAACAAUAUAUGGAAAGUUUUGCAAAGGGUUCAAUCUUUUUUACUAGUAAAUGUAUACAUUCAAUAACAUGUUGCAGUUUCUAGCAUCACAUCUUUUCGAGAUGUCUCGAAAUUUAUGUAAGCAAGAAUAACCUUUAAAUACCUCUUGAAACUAAAUUCUGGUUAUAAUAACAAAUACUAACUUGCUAUUUAAUCACUAAGGAUCGUUUAAAGAUAACCAUCAUAUUCAAUUCGCUGAUCAGCGACCAAGCGUUCAGUUCGACGUGCAUCAGCCGCAGCGUAAAGAACUAAAUAACCACAUAGACUGGCCGACCCUUCGACAGUAAUUCUUCGUGUUGGUGAUCAAAGUUUGUCGUCGCUAAGCUCUCUCAGGCAACUACGUUACCCAGUUCAGAUUUCUUUCCCUUGAACUUGCCCGCUUGUUGAGCACAAGUUUCAGUUACAGUACAUGCUUUGUUUCCAAGCUAUUCACAUCAUGGCAGUUUGGCGAUGUGACUCGGUCUGUUCUCAUUACUGAGGAGUGUUAAAGUUGUUUGUAGACUCGAAGGCAGGCAUUUCUAACCGGGGCCAAGGAAAGCUACUGGUUAUAAUUCGGUCCAUUCUGUGCUAAAUCGCGGUAAUGGAAGCUCAUAAACGGAAGCUAAAAGUGCUUUUUAGACGUACAAACAAGCUCAGUGUCAGUGUUCCGGAUAUAUGCAGCCAUGAUUUCUCCUGAAUAUUUUUCAAGGAACGAAGGUCUUGAGCAUCAUUAAGAAACAAGCCCCUACUCGUGACUCAGUUGCAUCGUAACAUUAAUCAAGUUCCAGCAAGCGAGAAUUUCUGCAAACCAAUGUACACUGCCAAACAAAUUUCAGAGCAAAGAUCCACAGAGACCGAUUCAAAAGCAACCGCAAACAUACCGGCCAAGAUCCAGAGACAUGCACAAAUGUGUCCUCGGCCGGCCUUCUUUGAACGAAACACCAGUCUGCAAGCAGUUGGUUGUCGGUUAGAUGAUCACCACGAUAAAAAGAUAAAACCUGUUUCGGCAGUGACGCCAUCACAUGACCACUGUCUGCCUUAUUCGAUUGAACAAAGAGGUCUUAUACACGAAGGGUUUGGUAGAGAGCAUACCUUUGUUCCUUCUAGACAACUGUCUAAGAGUUCCAGUAAACAAGUCAGCUUGGGCAAAGUUAACCCUUCAUAACUGACGUGGCUCAGAAAUCAGGAAAAGUUGGCCUUUACUACUGAAUUGGUCCCAUCCUGGGGUAUUUAGCAAACGCCACGGAAAUGCGAGAGAUCCACCGCCUGUUUGCGUAACAAGGUCUGAUGUGAAGUUUCAAUUGCUGUAGCUUCAUGCCGGAUAAUAAAUAGAGGUAUUUCUGCUCGAUGCAUCAGCUAUUCCUAGGUCUAGCCGUGUUUUUGAUUUUUUGUGUAAGUGCUUCAGUUUACUAAAUGGUAAGACUUGUGAUUUUAGGGUGUAAAUCUGUGAGAGGUCGUCAAGGAAGAAUAAAAAGGGUAUUAAUAGUUCUUAUUGCAUCAAAGAUUGGGUCCUCACCUUCCACAAAGGCCACAGACUCCGUACAUUAAAAAAAGUCAUGUCUAGGAGCAGAACUUUCGUUUAACGAUCUUACUUAGUGAAGUUUUACUUGAGGAUUUUGUGUUCCAGCUUCAGUUGUGUAGUUCCUUGUGAGCUCUUUCUUUCUUGGUAAAAUCUGAUUGAUACCUUUGAUGUACAGUUCUUCGUAGAGAAAAGAUGUCACAGGAAUUCUUGCACAACAUUUACUUUGCCUGGCUGGCAAAGGUAACUUCAAUCAAAGAUUAAACAGCCCGUCAGUAACUGUGAAGAGUUUUGACUUUACUUUAACAUGGAGUACAAACGUGCGGCAGAAAUUCACGGUACCGGAGCGUCUGAUGUCGAAGUGAUCUUUUCUUGUAGUUACAACUGCCCUCAGUUUAAAACAAAAGCUUUCCGACAAGAUCUGAGGAGAACUAAGGUCUAAGGGUAAAUCUCAUUGGUGAUGAUUAUUUUGUUGAAAAAAGAUAAAAACACAAGGAACAUUCACAGAAAAAAACAAAAAAAACAAAACAAAACAAAACAGACAUAAUGCUCGACCGAAUAAUUAUCGAAAGCAAUGACCAGUGAGGCAUUGAACGACUCAAAGACUCUGCUCUGGAGGAAUGGCGCAGAGGUAUCUUUUGCUUUUGCGUGAAAACAUUCAUCCUGCUAUGAAUACUAAUCUGAGAAUAUAGAUUCUAACAUUUGCACUUUUUAUCGACAGGCUUCAAGAGUCUUAAGAAAGCCGUAAGACAUGCCAUCAAGUCUUUGGAUAGAGAAUGAUUAACAUGCAUCAGAAGCUGUCGCUAAUUCUUUCAUAAUCCAAGCCUUUUUUUUUUCUUUCCUCAGAGGUGAUAUCGGAGUGGGCCAGAGUGGCAAACACUGCCGAAGAAGUCCAAUAUCAUACAAACAAGGAUAUUUUUAGACAUAAUUUCACGCCCUCGGGGUGUUAUCUACGAAACUAUGUCGGUAAACCACAAGCUGUAUAAAUGAAUAUGAUCUGUAUUUGUUGCCCUGAGAAAUUCUACCCCGUUUCCACCAGUUGGGAGUUUUCUUUGCGAGUCUCAUGCUCAAUUAAUUCUUUCCCGCCCCAUUGCUUUUAGUCGAGAUAAAAGCCCAGAACUGAGGCGAUAUUAACAUGGGUCCUUGAAAUUAGCUUAGUUGAGCUAGGCAGUCGUGUGUGCUCGACAUCUACUUGAUCAAUAAAAAAGUCUACACCUCA